AUGCCUCAUAAAUAAGUUCAGUGUGUCU
rnacentral:piRNA from 1 species